AGAAGGCUGUUGUCCUGUCCACGAGCAAGACCAAGAAGCAGGACACCUGUGCCAAGCUGUUGCACAAGACUCUAACGCGCAAGCAGUUCUGCAAGAUGGCCAAGUCUGUCCAGAAUCAGGUACUAACACAACAAAAAUUCUUACUUGAAAAGUUAGAAUGCACAUGUUAUGCUUGUUUCUAUGCUGCAACUCAUUUGUAUGUGCACCUGCUCUUAUAUACAUUUAACUGUUUUGUGGAUUGUACUAUUAACAUUUAAGAAGUUUUUCUGUCAUUGGGAAAUCUGCUUUGGUCUUUGUUUUUAAUUGGUAACGAAAGGUAUUGCUGUGAUGAGCCGUGGCGAUAAGGAUACCAACGGAUCAAUUGGUUAUUCAAUGAAAUGCUUUUUACGCUUGGCAUUGAGCUCAACCGGUUAAGAAAAUUGUUUUUGUUGUAUAUAUUAGAUUAUUGUGUACACAAUUUUCACGUUAGUGAGCACAUAUUAGAUUACUUUCACCCGUUGCAACGCAAGAACAUGGAGUUAUUCUCAUGUUGAAGUUUCCAGCGAUAAGAAUGGGCUUAGCCAACAUCGCUCAGCUGCUGAAAUUGCAAAUUUGGUGUAGUUAUUCAUGGUAGAAAUUCCAAAUUAAGUGGUAUAUUUUGCCAGAUUGAGAAACUGCAUACACACCUUUGUCAAUGCGCAAUCGAACAUCCGUCAGGUGCUGAUCAGAGGACUACUAAAGUAGGGGAAACACACUUAAGUUUGUUAUCCAGAGUUUCUUCAGAAGCUAAACAUCAGUGGCAUCACAAGUGGGCUUCCUCAUUUAAUCCAAGAGAUCUAUCAAGUUGCAAAGAUAACAACAGUGAACAUGAAAUAUCUGAAAGCAAAUGACCCGAGUAUCCUCUACUACUUUGGUUUAGGUGCUAUUUAUCUUGCUCUGUGUUGAAAUAUUUUUAUCUUCCGUGGAUGCAAAGCAUCCAGGAUGUGAUAAAUCAUUCACUGGAUAAUGGCAUUUAUAUGUGGUUCCAGUCUUUUCACGGUGCAGGUGAACAUGAGAAUUCUAUCAAAGAUAAGUGCCCUUUCAAGAUUGACAUUGUUCUUUCUUCAGUGUAGGUGCAUGAUAUUACAUGAUUAAACAUGCCAAUUUUUUAAAUUGAUUUAGUUGUCUAUAUUAUGCUCUAUGUGCUAUUACCAACAAAAAAGUACACCAUAAUAUAAGAUGUUAUUACAUGGACGGAGGGAGAUUUUUAGCCUGCAAAGCAACAAAUCUAUUCCCAGUGUGGCAAUAAUGUGUUUGCACCAGUUAAGGAAGAAUUUGUUUUUCACACUGUAAGAAACACUUCAUGUUUCUUCCCCAUCAUUUAAGUGUGCCAUUCUUCUUUGUUCAUGUUGCUAAUAGGAUAUAUUUCAUUAUGAUGAUGUUUCAUACUGCUCCUAUGGAGUCGCUCUUUGGACUGUUGGACGCGUAUAUCCAAUGAAACUACUUUUCCAGUUGUUGGCUGGAGCUAUCACUAUGACUGAAAAUUUCUUUUCAGUCAAGAAACCAACGACAUGUCAACACUUAUCAGCGGUUUGCAAUCUUUGUUAGACUAUGCCUAAGCCAAUGGUUAGACAAUGUUAGGCAAUGUACAAAACAUGGACAUGAUUUAUGUAGAUUGGGCAGUCCCUUCAAACUGCAUUUUUCAAUCUUGAGUGGACGAUUAUAUGUUUUCUUAUAGAAAAUUGACUAUAUGUUUGAUGAAUUGACUGAUUAUUGCCCUGUCAGAUUAAACUAGGUCUUAAUUUGAAGGUACAAUUUAGGCUGCUGGUGCUGGUUUGUUUAUUGUACUAAUUAUGCUCUUUAGACAGAGACAUGUUGUCUUCAUCAUUCCUCAGUCAUUAUGAGCUGGGCAUAGAUCGGUGACCCGGUUAAUCCUGAUUUAUUGCAACAUAUGUUUUCUCCACACAGGUCUAAACAAUGCAACCUCUUUUUAGGUUGUGGAAAUAUGAUUCGGAUGGAGGUUGAUGGACUAGAGCAAUUAAGGGAUGUGAUAUUUUCUUCUCCCGUUGCAACGCACGGGCAUAUGUCCUAUUAUAUAUAUAUAUAUAUAUAUAUAUAUAUAUAUAUAUAUAUAAUAAUAAUAAUAAUAAUAAUAAAGCACGUAGGGUUUCUGUCGUACGUCGUCAGCAUUUUUACAGAAAUCCCCCUGCUAUUUUGGCUAUUCAACCCACAGUACUAUUAUAAUAUAAGUCAACCCGAAGAGAUACUGACAAGAGAGAAAAAGAAAUAACCCACCCACCCACCCGCACGUCCCUGCCUCCCAAUUCCGUAAAAAAACAAUCCCAUCUCAACGUCCUGCCGCCGGUCACAACACGCGCCGCCGGCCCACCCCCACGCCGAUACGCGCCGCCGGUGCAUCAGUUGGACGACGUGCCUGUCCUCCUUGCGAGCUGCGAGCCAAAAAGAAGCAGCGAGGUUCACUCAAAAGAAAAGCANNN
rnacentral:lncRNA from 1 species